UGGGGAAUAUUGCACAAUGGGGGAAACCCUGAUGCAGCGACGCCGCGUGAGCGAAGAAGGUUUUCGAAUCGUAAAGCUCUGUCCUAUGAGAAGAUAAUGACGGUAUCAUAGGAGGAAGCCCCGGCUAAAUACGUGCCAGCAGCCGCGGUAAUACGUAUGGGGCGAGCGUUGUCCGGAAUUAUUGGGCGUAAAGGGUACGCAGGCGGAAAUGCAAGUCAGGUGUAAAAGGCAGUAGCUUAACUACUGUAAGCAUUUGAAACUGCAUAUCUUGAGAAGAGUAGAGGUAAGUGGAAUUUUUAGUGUAGCGGUGAAAUGCGUAGAUAUUAAAAAGAAUACCGGUGGCGAAGGCGACUUACUGGGCUCAUUCUGACGCUGAGGAACGAAAGCGUGGGUAGCAAACAGG
rnacentral:rRNA from 1 species